GUUGGGUUUUCUUGUACUGGUUCCCAGGAUUGAAAAUUUGAGUUUUGUAGAAACAACACAGUGAUCUGUGAUACACACAGAUCUGUAUAAUACUACUUAAAAUGUUAGAUGAACAGUAACAAGUCUAAAAAGUCAAGUGCUAACUAAUGCUGUUCAUUUUACAUAUUCAGAAUGUCUCCAUCAGCAAAAAAUGUGAAUGCAUCCUGAAAGCCCUGGCUGUCUGCCUGAAGGAAGACCCCUCAAACCUUGUGAAGGAGUACAUGAAUGUUGAACAUGUUGAAGCCCUAACCUCAACGCGCAACACCACGCUGGGAAUCUGUGUCAUCAUACAGAUGCUACAGACCUUUACGAAUAAUGUUGUACCGUUGGCUGUUGCAGUACAUUUGUUUUUCGGUACUGAACAUGUUACAUUCCUUUCAACGUUGGUCUUGCUUUGAAUAAUUGAUGCAUUUUCAUUACAAAAGAAGACUAUUUUGUAAAUCCUACCUAAAAUCCAUGCUUUUAUUUUUUAUUAGUA
rnacentral:lncRNA from 1 species